rnacentral:rRNA from 1 species
GACGAACGCUGGCGGCGUGCCUAAUACAUGCAAGUCGAACGAAGCUUUUCUAACUGGUGCUUGCGCCGACUUAAACAACUGAGUGGCGAACGGGUGAGUAACACGUGGGUAACCUGCCCCAAAGCGGGGGAUAACAUUUGGAAACAGAUGCUAAUACCGCAUAACCACAGAAACCACAUGGUUUCUGUGUCAAAGAUGGUUUCGGCUAUCACUUUGGGAUGGACCCGCGGCGUAUUAGCUAGUUGGUAAGGUAAUGGCUUACCAAGGCAAUGAUACGUAGCCGAACUGAGAGGUUAGUCGGCCACAUUGGGACGGAGAUACGGCCCGAACUCCGACGGGAGGCAGCAGUAGGGAAUCUUCCACAAUGGACGAAAGUCUGAUGGAGCAACGCCGCGUGAGUGAAGAAGGUUUUCGGAUCGUAAAACUCUGUUGUCAGAGAAGAACGUAUCUAAGAGUAACUGCUUAGGUAGUGACGGUAUUUAACCAGAAAGCCACGGCUAACUACGUGCCAGCCGCCGCGGUAA